AAAAUAUGUUGUCACAAUUACUUUGAAACAACAAUAAUUUUUAUCAUUAUUGUAAUUUUCAGUGUAUAUUCACAUGUGAUUCCAACAACUAUGACACUGAGUUGCUGAAGCAAAAUCAAACAUUUUAGAAAUAAAGAAAUUAAAGGACAGGAAAAUUAAUUGACUUGCAGCAAUUUUUUUAUACUGUCAUCUUGGCUAAGCUAGAAUAGUUUACAAGAAUCCCCUAUCCUGUAUGAUAGUUUGUUAACUGGCCCAAAUAAGAAAUUCUUUUUACAAAUUUUGGAAGGGGAAAAUAAAGCAGCUCAUCUGAAAUCUGUUAAUUUAGAGGUACGAGUAACAAAGAGAUACAUGUGGAUUCUAGCUAGUUCUUGCUGUCUUUGGCUCCACACCCACAUCAUCUUCCCAAAUGAAAAUCUUGCUGACCAAGAGCCACUGAGACCCAACAGAUAUGUGGAGACAGCAGCUUUCCAUAAUCUUUUGCACCAGGUCUCCUUUGCAGACCCACUUGGGCAGCCCAAACUGCUUUACUUCAAAGGGUUGGUUAUUGUCUUUUCCAUGAGCCUCCAAUUCUCCCUUUUAGAAAUUUAUGACCCCAGCAAUACACACAAUUUGGGGAAGUGCUAUCACAUAUCUAACCCCUUUUCACAUAAUACUCAUAUUUGUUUUCAUUUUCAGAUUGAAUCUGACUGAGACAUAACUUCGAUGAGAUCACACUGCUAUUAAACAUCAGUAUUGAAAAUCAAAUAUUUCAUACUAUUUCUCAAUCUUGAAAGAAAGAGUAUUUCCAAAAAAAAAAAAAAAAAGAGGAGUUGUUAAGCUGCCCCAGAUACAUAUGCACUGGCUUGAGGACCAGCAUAUUGAAGGAACUUGAAAAUGGAAGACCACCUCCACCCUACUGCCCUCUUCAACAGAAAAGCAAUGGGACUGGUUCCUGACAUUGUGCCCUGUGGAGCUGUCAUUACAGCUUAAUCACUCCACUCACCAGAGAACUCGACAUAUCACAUCACACAUCUUAAGACUAUUUAGGAUGAUGGCACACAUUCCAAGCCAACUUUAUGAUUUACUUUUUGGUGAUCUCCUCCUGUUGAAAAGUAAAAUGUCCUCCCAAAGGUUGUUUUCUGACGUUGGUUAUUUUAAGUGUCCCCUAUCAGAUUGCCAUUCUCCCCUCUCUUUUCUCAUGUUCUCCUCUGAAUGGAUAUCCAUCCCUUUGUCAUCAUUUUGUCUAGUUUUCUGAUAUCCUAACCAUUCUCUUAAUUUCCAGUUCCACCUCCUGUAUACAAGGAACAUUAUUCUGGAAGACACUUCCCUGAAACCUGACUUUCAACAGAAACUUGGGGGCAAGGGUUCUGCCCAUACAGUGAGAACAAGCAAUUAUAACCUUAAGAGAGUAUGGGAAUUCUGAUGUCACUACUCCGUGAUUCUUUAUUUUCAGUCAAUAAAUAACAUGUACCUCUGAUGAUGGCUGUAUGGUCAGGCAACUCAAAAUGGCUUCUCUCUAUACAUCUCCUGCUUGACUGGUGCCUGCUUCACCUACACACAACUCAUAAGACUGAUCUCCCUUCAUAUUCACCCCAGGCCCCAGCUAAUGACUGUUCUAAAUUUAGAUCAGAACUCACCACUAUGCUUAUCCAAGGGGUGGUGAGAGGCAUGACCCUGUGCUGAUUACCCUCGUAACCAAUGAGCCAACCUGACAUCAACUCCCCUAUGACUGGUAACCACUUCUUCCCCACCAGGAGCAAAGACUGCCAUCAUGUCCUGCCCUCCAGCUCCCACACAUGGCAGGAUGUUGCUCCAGGACUUUGCUUCAGAUGUGUAAGAUCACCCUAAUCAUUAAACUAUUGAUUAUCUCUGUUGCUGACUCUGGGAUCUUUCUCAGGUCUUGAAGCUGGGCAAGUACAGGGCUUGUAGACCUGCAGGGUGCAGUCCAGUGCUGACAUAGCUAAUUAAUACCCUCACAUAAAACACUUUGUUUAUAUAAACAUAAUGUAACUAGUAGCCAAAUUGGGUUCAAAAGAAUGGAAAUACAUGGAGAUCAGAAGCAACCUUAGCUCUAGGGUCCUCAGAAAGCCCAGAUUCAGUGGGAUAUCAUGGUACAGCACAAGGCUUGUGGGGAGAAAUGAAUAGCAGGCACAGCUUUGCCCAUCUCUUAUCUAAUUCUCAAUAGUUCCUUCUGCUAUUGGACCAACCUGGGAUGUGUCGAUGUCCAUUCAAAUACUAUCCCUUUCUGAAACUCUUAUGAAAAUUUCAGUGCACAUCAUGUUAAUUAUGAUGUUUCACUCAUGAUGCCACUUAAACUUAUCAUCAUCUUGCAUUGUUUCAAAAUAUUGAAUGUAUGUAAUUACUCUAAUUAUUUAUGUUGCCUUAUUUUAGUUGUGAUGGUUAUAUAUUUUUCCAGGUUUAUUUUCUUCUCUUGUAAAACUGUGCUCAAGCAAAGUAGAUCUACCCAAUGUUUCACAAUGAUACCCUGUACAUUUUGCCUUCCCAAAAUGUCACUUUAAAUAUUCUAUUUGAAGAGUUUUCUCUCUCUUCUCA